rnacentral:tRNA from 1 species
GGUCCUAUCGUCUAGCCUGGUCAGGACAUCGGGUUUUCAUCCCGGAAACAUGGGUUCGAAUCCCAUUGGGAUCA